rnacentral:rRNA from 1 species
UACGUAGGGUGCAAGCGUUAAUCGGAAUUACUGGGCGUAAAGCGUGCGCAGGCGGUUAUGCAAGACAGAGGUGAAAUCCCGGCGUCAACCUGGGAACUGCCUUGUUGACUGCAUAGCUAGAGUACGGUAGAGGGGAUGGAAUUCCGCGUGUAGCAGUGAAAUGCGUAGAUAUGCGGAGGAACACCGAUGGCGAAGGCAAUCCCCUGGACCUGUACUGACGCUCAUGCACGAAAGCGUGGGGAGCAAACAGGAUUAGAAACCCGGGUAGU